rnacentral:rRNA from 1 species
UACGUAGGGGGGCGAGCGUUGUCCGAAGUUACUGGGCGUAAAGCGCGCGUAGGCGGCUCUUUAAGUCUGGCGUGAAAGGUUCAGGGCUCAACCCGAACAGUGCGCUGGAGACUGGAGAGCUUGAGGACGGGAGAGGGAAGCGGAAUUCCGGGUGUAGCGGUGAAAUGCGUAGAUAUCCGGAGGAACACCGAUGGCGAAGGCAGCUUCCUGGCCCGUAUCUGACGCUGAGGUGCGAAAGCGUGGGGAGCGAACAGG